AGCCUCUCUCAGCAGGCGCCCGGGUGCCGCUGAUGUGGGGGGAAGGGGGGAAACAAAGGACUUAUUCUCUGGGUGCGCAGCCGGUGGCAUCGCAGGGGCGUUGGCGGAAGCCCCCGGGGGCCAGGAGGGGGCAGGCCUGGGCGGGGCUGAGGAAUCACGGGCUCCUGUUCCCCGCAGGGUGCAGGAGGAGUAAACCCGCGGAGCAGCUUUUCGGCUUCCCCACUUGCGCGUCCGGCGAUGGCGAUAGGAGGUCCUGCUGCGCUCUCCGUGCCGCUCGGUCUACACUAGCCGUGCAGCGCUGCGCUCCCGUGGAGCCACCUUCCAGGGCACCCCGAUCGCCCCCCCUACGACCCCUUCCCCUGGCCCCUCGGCCGCGUCCCCCCCCCACUCUACCUUUUAAUCGGGGCGCCUUCUCCCCCCCACCAUCCAGUUUAUUCUCCCCUCGGGGAGCCCGUUCCCCCCCUCCCCGUAGCCCAGCUCACUCUCCCUCCGGGGAGCCCUCUUCCCCACUUUCGCCCAGCUCCCUCUCCCUCCGGGGGCGCCCGCUCCCCCCGGCUUAGCUCCCUCUAUCCCCGGGGCACCCGCUCCCCAAUCCCGGCCCGGCCCGGACCACCCAGAGGCGCAGCACGGAGUCUCGGCGGCCCAUGGCGCAGCCCACAACCUCAGCCCAGAAGCUGGUGCGGCCCAUCCGCGCAGUGUGCCGCAUCCUGCAGAUCCCGGAGUCUGACCCCUCCAACCUGCGGCCCUAGAGCGCCCCCGACGCUCGGGGGAGAGAGGGGGUGAGAGGAGCCCGCAGGCCCCAGAGGCGGCUCAUGGGGAGGGCGCGUCCGGCAAUUGCCAGGACCCCCGCUACCCUCGCGCCAGGUCCCAGCAGCACAGGAUUCUAAGAGAAGAAGGUGAGGAGGGAGUGAAUUCCAGUGAAGGGGCACACAGCCUGUUCAAAGUCAUGGAGGCCGGAGAUGGAAUGCUGAGUUUGGGGAACAGCGAGUAGACCAGUUUGGCUGGAACAGAGAGUUCAUGAAGGGGCGUAACGUGAAAUAAACCUGGAAAGGAAGCCCCUUUGUGAGAACCCCAUGAGGGCAGAGGCAUCAUGGAAAGCACACACACCUACCUGCAAGAUACCCCCACCUGGGAGAAGCCAGCAUCAGAGAAUGGCAUCAGACAAGAGCCAGGCACCUUGCCACGGGGUCCACACUAUGGACCACUGUGCCUGGGAGAUCCUGCUCCUUUUUGGAGAGGAACCCUGAACACCCCAGACUCUUGGUUUCCACAUGAUUUACCCCAUGGCCCAAAUGACCCAAUUCCAUUCUUGGGGGGUGAGGGACCCCGUAAUGGUGAGGGAAAGACUGGAUGGUUGGGGGCCAAAGAGGGACUGCGAUGGAAGGAAGCAAUGCUAGCCCACCAGCUGGCACUCUGUGGGCAGCCAUGCCCACCUCGUCAUAACCUCCUGCCCCCAGAGCAAGGUAGCAGCCAUCCCAAGAAUGACCCAUUGGCUUUCCGGCCCUUACAUUGCCCCUUCCUUCUGGAGACCAAGAUCCUAGAGAGGACCCCCUUCUGGGUGCCUGCCUGCCUGCCUCCUUACUUGGUGCCCAGCCAGCCCCACGAUCGGCCUUCUGAUUGGCCCCUAGCUCCUAUUCCUUGGGCAUACCUGGGGACCCAGCCCAAGAGUCCUCCUGUUUUCAGCUCAGGAAGCAAGGGCUUUUAUCACAAAGAUCUAGGCAUACCUCGCCUGGCAAAAGAGAUGUUGACCACUGCCGAACCUGGGUUGUUGGGCGUAGCCCCUGGUGGGCAUCUUCAGAGAGCUGGGGAGAUGGAUCGGUCCCUACCCUAUCAAAAGGAUGGGGAGCCAGGGGCCAAUGGGCACCAGAACCUUUGCCCACUUUUGGGGGGGUGCCCAGAUAUACUCGGCGGCCGGACCCUCUGGCCUACUCAUUCCCCAGGUUUGGUUCAUGCUCUUGGAAGCUCCUGGGUAGUGCCUCGAAAUGGGAACCUCAGAAACCCCCAACCAGGGCCAUCCUCUGGGUCAGAGUGCCCUUCCCCAGGACAGUCUGUCAGUCAGGUGGGCUGCUGUUCAUCCCAUCUGCCUGCUGGAGAUGAGAGUCAUAGCCACUGUGGAAGGUGCCAGGAAGGCACAGAAGGUGGUACUAGUGGGACAACUGGUUCCACUGAAGAAGUCGGCAAGCUUCCUGGGCCUGGGGCCUGCCCCCCAAGCCACCAUACCAAGCUCAAGAAGACCUGGCUCACUCGGCAUUCUGAGCAAUUUGGAUGUUUGACUGGGUGCCCAGGGGAGGAGGUGGGCCCAACCACUCAGGUUGGGUCCCUCAAGAGGGAGGGAAGUCCUGAGGUGGGGGGAGCAGCGGGUAGCCCAGCCCCUAAGCGUCCAGCUGACUCCUUCCCGGACAGUGAGGGACAGGGGACUGGGAGUUGGCAGGAAGCUUUGGAACCACCACUUGGAAGCAAGGCCGAGACGGCGGAACAUGAUGGCUGGAGAGGAUUCCUGGGCAGCAGGCCUGGCCUUGAUGGACUUGAACUCCAGAGUGUGCCUUGCACAGAGCUCCCAGCAGGAAUGCCCCGUUGCCAGAGCUGUGCCCUUGGGGAAAGGGAAGAUCCAGGGAGGACUUGCCGCCUUAUGAACGUGAGAAAGUUACCUUCAAGUGGAACAAGGACAGAGGAAGGUGAAACCAGCCAGACUGAGGAGGGCAGAGGCUGCAGGCCCGGGCCAGACACCAAGCUGAGUGUGCAUCUCGCCAAGUAUCUGCUGAAUAGUCUCGGGGACAGAUUCUGUAGACUACUGAGGAGGGAGCGGGAGGCCUUUGCCUGGGCUUUGGAGGAAGUGGGGGAACCCACCCUUGCCCCAAUCCCAUGGGAGGACCCCAAAGCGCCAAGAUCCUGUAGCCGCUGCUACCGUGGACUCUUCAACACACAUUGGGGCUGCCCUCACUGCUGCUACAGGCUCUGUCUGGCCUGUGGCCAUGUGGGGAGGACUAAGGAUACCACAGGCCCUCAGGAGCAGCCCCCGGAGAAGUGUGCCCAUAACACUGGGCACGAUGCCCACUCUCUUAUGCUAACCCAGUUCGUUCCCAGUCAGGCUCUGGCAGAGCUGAGCACCAAAAUGCACCAAGUCCGGGCCAAGUUUGACAUCCGAGCGCACUGCCCUUGCCAGGCUGAUGCUCGAGUGUGGGCUCCUGGGGAUAGAGGACAAAAGAAGGAGACAAUAGAGAAAAUUCCUCCAACUCCACAAUCCUCUUGCAAUGGUGAUGCACACAGAACCAAGGAAAUCAAAGAAGAAGCCACAGACACCACUGAAACUCCAGGAGAAGCCCCAGGAGGCCGGGGAUCCCUGCCCUGCCCCUCCCUGUGUGAACUCCUUGCUUCCACGGCUGUUAAACUCUGCCUGGGCCAUGAGAGAAUCCACAUGGCCUUUGCCCCUGUGACCCCGGCCUUGCCCAAUGAUGAUCGGAUUACUAACAUCCUGGAUAGCAUCAUCGCCCAGGUGGUGGAAAGGAAGAUUCAGGAGAAGGCACUGGGUCCAGGGCUGCGGAAGGGGCUCGGCCUGCCCAGCUCUGCCACUCCACGUGGCCUGCCUUCUCGGGGAGCCCUGCUGUGGCUUCAGGAGCCCCAGCCCCAGCACAACUUCCAUCUCUUUCAGGAACACUGGAGACAGGGCCAGCCCGUGCUGGUAUCCGGACUACAGAGAACACUUCAGAGCAGUCUCUGGGGGCCAGAAGCCCUUGGGUCACUGGGGGGAAAGGUACAGGCCCUGAGCCUUCUUGGGCCUCCCCGGUCCACCGAGCUGGGCAGCACAGCUUUCUGGAAGGGUUUCUCCCGACCGGAGGCUCGUCCAAAGCUAGAAAGUGGGUCCCUCCUUCUUUUGCAUAGAAAUCUAGGCGAGCCAGAGUCCAGCAGAACAGAGAACCUGGCUGCUAGCCUGCCCCUCCCAGAAUAUUGUACCAGCCAUGGGAAACUCAACCUGGCUUCUUACUUCCCUCCCAUCCCUACCCUCUGCCGGCUGGAGCCACAACUCUGUGCCUCUUAUGGUGUGAGCCCACAGCACGGGCACCUGGGGACCAAGAAUCUGUGCGUGGAGGUGACAGACCUCAUCAGUGUCCUGGUCCAUGCAGAAGCGCCAGUACCUACUUGGCACCGGGCACAGAAAGAACUCCUGACAUGCCUGGAAGGUGAGGGGCUGUGGUCCCCAGGUAGCCAGGUGGGCGCUGUGUGGCAUGUGUUUCGGGCACAGGACGCCCAGCGCAUUUGUCGCUUUCUCCAGAUGGUGAGGAAGGUGUGCCCCUCUGGAGCAGGCACCCUGGAUCCAGGAUCCCCUGGCAACUGCUAUUUGGAUACCGCUCUUCGUCGCCGCCUUCGCGAGGAGUGGGGUGUGAGCGGCUGGACCCUUCUGCAAGCCCCUGGCGAGGCUGUGCUGGUGCCCGCCGGGGCCCCUCACCAGGUGCAGGGUUUGGUGAACUCGGUCAGCGUCAACCAGUAUUUCCUGUCUCCUGAGACCAUCGGCCUCUCCAUCCAGCUCUGCCACCAGGCACCCAACCUGCCUCCUGAUGCCCGCCAGGUUUAUAGCCAGGAUCAUCAAAAUAUUGCUAUUUGAAUCCCUAAUGGAUGGUUUUCAAAAUCCAACAUAUGCCACAGAAUCUCAGAACUAGAAGGGACCCCAGAAGAUAUCCAGGCUUAUAGGAAGAUAGAGCACAGGAUUUGGCUGAGAGUCUCCAAGAACUUCCAACUCAAAGGUGGAUUUGGAUACUCUCCAGAGUCUGAGGAUUGAAAGGAUAAUCUGAGGCUGUUAGUCAAAAGAAAUGGAGAUGACUUACUAACUGGUUCGUAGUGUGGAUGUCUCAGUCUCAAUUAUGGAACAGAAUGAGCCUGGGAAAAGCAGGAUAUGAAUGGACCGUCACUCUGAAUCAGAAAUGCAACACUGUCAUACAUUUAAGAUGUUUUGGACUGUCUGCUGGACAACCAGUGGUUUUCAGUCUGAGGUCUAUAUCAAGGAUACCAUCAGAAUUCUAUGGCAGCUGAAGAUAAAGAAGAGGACCUCCCAUCCAGUGGGUUCUACUAAUCUGAAUGUGUGUGUACCAAGGAUUUCUGGAACUUUAGCUACUUUUUGGUGAUUCAUGGAAAAAGUUUAGUGAGUGACCUGCAUUGUUGGCUGGAGGUGCUUAUGUUCCUGGAUAAUCUAUUGUAUUUGAAAAAAUAUUGGAAGAGCAUAAGAAAAGACUGCUAAAGAAAGGGACAGGAAGAACAUAACCCACAUCCUGCUCAAACUAGUGCUAGCCUUGGCAAGCAUCAAGAAGUCUAAAACUACAUCUUCAAGGAACCCCAUAGCCAGACUGUUUUAAUUACACCAUGAAAAACAGGUUGAAGACAGAGGCCUUAGGGCUCACAUACCAGUUAUGGACAUUCUCUUCUCCACAGAACCUGAUUCAUCCGGGUCUGGAAACUGGUUUUCAACUUAGAUUAUUUAAUAGGCCCAAAAUUAGGACUGCAGACCAAUAAGCCUGAGGAUAUUGACUCACCCAUAAGGCCUCAAGAGACAAGGUAUACGGAUGUGACAAUAUGACAAGUACAAAGACUAACUGGCCAGGGACCAGGCUGGAAUGCAAUAUCCCUGGGAUCAUAGAUGAAGAUACAAUACUCAUUUUGUUAAAAAAAAAAA